GCCCAGAUAGCUCAGCUGGUUAGAGCGUGGUGCUGAUAAUGCCAAGGUUGCAGGUUCGAUCCCUGUAUGAGCAGCU